UGACGUUGAUAGGUCGGGUGUGUAAGCGUAGCGAUACGUUGAGCUAACCGAUACUAAUGAACCGUGAGGCUUAACCUU
rnacentral:rRNA from 1 species